AUAUAUGAGCUUGUGACACCUUUUUUUUUCUCUGUGAUAUAUCCCUCUUCCUUUCCAUUAGGAACUUUAAGAACAAAUACUCUUGCAAAAUGGAAGGCUUCAUUUGAAAUUUCCAGUGAAACUUGAGUCAUCUUAGGCCGCAUGAAAAUAUGCCCUCGAUUUGGAUUGUGUCAGGAAUGAUAUGAUUCCCUCUACUGACGGAAUUUACUCUAAUUGUUUCCCCGACAUGGAAGAUGAAGAGUUACCAAAUCCUUGUAAUCGAGAAAAACAAUCAAGUUCUAGAAACAGAACGACAAGCUGGUCAAACCAUGGAAAUUGAUUGAUUUCAGAUUCUCUAAUUUUCAAGCCUUCAGGUACAAUUUUACACCCUUUUCAAGCUUUUAAGAUUUGUAGGGAACCAUAGUGUUCUAUUUUGGAUGAUGUUGUAUUAGUAUUUAGUAGUUAUUCUUAAGUUAUACUUUUAGUAUGAUCUGAAUUUCUUCUGUUAUUCUUGUAUUGUUUGAAUUGCAACUUCUGAUACCAAAACACUAUAGUAUAUCAUAUUCAUAAGAACAAUGUUGGGAUCGAGAUGAUCAUACGGUAGGAGACUAAUGAUGUUUGGAAAUGAUUUAGGUAAUAUUCAUUUCCUUAAUGAGGUAUUUAUCUGUAUUAUCUACCUUUCACAUUUUAUGUGAUUAUGCAUGUAGGAUAGGUUUUGCUUUAAAAAAUUGUUGUUCAACUUUUCCUUUUUUGAAUUGAAAAUCUUAAGUUACAAGUAGUAAACUGAAAUAAAAGGAUAAAAACAUAGUUAUAAUAUGUUUUUAUCCAAGUUAGGCACUCAAAUUAUUAAUGCUAGAGGUAAGACUAAUGUCAAAGCAAGUUUAUAUCAUUCCUUUGUAUCAUUAUCUUUAAUUUGCUUGAACUUAUAAGGUUCUUAUCGUUUUGUUAAAUAUAGAAGCUACAAUAUCUAAGUGAGAUAAUUUAAAUAGCAUCUUUACUGAGCUUUCUAAAAGAAAGAUGGCUUUUUGGUAGCCAAAAUAAAUCUAUCAAUAAAUCAUCUUCUUAUGAAUUUAUCUUUAAUAGAGAUUGUGGCUCACUUCUAUCCCAAUUUUUCCAAGAGAAGGCUUGAGAAAAUAUGUACUCUAAAAGGUGUUUGUAGUUUACAUAAAAACAUGACUUGUUCAAGCAGAUAAAGAUGAAAUUGACUCUUAAAAGGAUUACUUACUUUUUCCUGUCUAAAUCUUCUUUUUGGGCAAAUAUUGAAAUUGAUAGACUUUAACAGAAACUCGUGUCAACUAUUUCUGUUGUAUUCACUUUUCAAUAAUUUUCAGAAACAACAUAUAGUGAGUUAAUGUUCUCCAUGGUACACUGAAUUAUUCAGAAGUUGUGACACCAAUAGAAUAUGAAUGAUAAACUGUAAAUGCAGAAUGUUCCCAACAACUUUGAGCAUUCUGCCUUUUUUUCUUACUUUUUGAUUAUUUUGUUCGGGUACAAUUUGUUUUGAUUUGUGCCAACAUUUUAUUAGUCCUACUAUGUGAUAAUUUGGGGAGGUUGUGUAUAGUUUGCAUGUCAAACAUCACAUAAUUUGAAUAAUAUUGCUCCCUUGCAA